CCCUUAGAUGUCCUGGGCCGCACGCGCGUUACACUGAUGCAUUCAACGAGUUUAUAACCUUGGCCGAGAGGCCUGGGCAAUCUUGUUAACGUGCAUCGUGAUAGGGAUAGAUUAUUGAAAUUAUUAAUCUUGAACGAGGAAUUCCUAGUAAACGCAGAUCAUCAAUCUGCAUUGAUUACGUCCCUGCCCUUUGUACACACCGCCCGUCGCACCUACCGAUUGGAUGGUCCGGUGAAGCCUCGGGAUUGUGGUUCUUGCCGCUUUAUUGUGGCGUGACCGCGAGAACUUGUCUAAACCUUAUCAUCUAGAGGAAGGUGAAGUCGUAACA
rnacentral:rRNA from 1 species